UCUUGUGUUAAUUUGUUUAGGCUAAUAGUCUCCGGUUCCAUCCAUGUUGCUGCAAAAGACAUUAUUUUGUUCUUUUUUAUGGCUGUGCAGUUACGAAUUGGGUUUUUUAAAGUUGCAGAGAGUAGCUGAUGAGGAGACGGAACAGCAUAAUAUUAAACUAUGGUGUUUCUUUUUAAAGCUUAUUCAGGUAAAACAGUUUUAUCAAAGGGUAGAGGCCCUCUUUAGCAACAUGCUAGAGGAGAAUACCCCCAUUGCCUGCCCAAGACAUACAGAAAAGAAGGAUGGUAGAAGGUACCACGAAAACAUUAGAAUUAGGAGGUUGGAAUUUAAACUUAGCAAAGGAAAGCUGUACCAGAACAGUGGUUUCAAGAACCCAGUCACAUUGCACAUUCUCAAGGAUGCUGCUGAGGAAGCAGUGAGUCUUGGGCUUGCCUGAGGCCCCUUCCAGCUCUGCAUGCUCUCUCUGUUCCUAUCCCUAAAUUGCCCAGUGACCAGCAAAGGUUAUCUUACUGAGCUGGGCUCCUUAAUACACUGGGGGUCUCCUUCAGGCAAUGGCGUACUGGUACAACUUGGUGGGAGCCAGUUUUGAGCAUUUCUUCCCAGUGCUCACUCCAUGUUGACUGGGUUGUAGCGUGAAAUACACCAUGGUGGGAGUAUUUACACCAUGGACUCUGGCAAUUGGCAAAUGCUGCCAAUCAGCCAUCCUCACAACCCCUGGGUCCCUAGGCCUGGCCCAUUGUUAAAUAUUAUAUCAACACAUCAUUGCCUCCAAGUGACAUACCUGGGCUCCCUGGGCUCUUUUUUCUGCGGUCAUCGACUUCCUAGCCCCUCUUUGUAUCUGUAAAUGUGGUUGACUGCCCCUUUCCACAUCAGUGAUGAAGAUCAGGCCUAGGAAAAUAGCUACCCAGAAUCUCAUUUUACUAAUGUUUUUGUUUCAGGAAAAAUCCUCUCACCUAAUUUUAUAUGAUCAAGGUUCAGCUCAGUAGAGUAGUUGAUAUCAUGGUUUUUCCAGCCAAACAACCUGGGUUCAGAUUCCAGUUAUUUCUCUUGCAAUUUACAGGAUCUUUAAUUUAAAGGAGUCGCUAGAUGUAUUCGUACCUCGAUCUCCUCAUUCAGCGUGAUGGAUUCAAUCCCUUGUAUAUCAUGCAAUUGUUUUAAAGAUUAAAUGGGUUCAUAUGUUUGAAGCACUUUGGAUGCAUCAGGCAUACGGUAGGUGUUUAGUUAUUAGCAUUCAACACACAGUUCCUCACAUACAAUUGUGUAUCUGGCAGUGUCUGUUAAGCUUCUUGGUAUCCCUAGUGCUGCUUGGAUAUAAUCAGAUGGCUAUUACAGGCAAUACAGUAAAGAUUAUGAAGCCAUCAUGUACACUGUUGUUCUUUUUGUCAUUCUGAAAACUUAAUUUAUCUGAAGGAGAAGGGUUACUAGGAGUGUGAAAUUUAAUGGGUAAUUUCUACCUUACGUUCCACACUCAGUAAUAUGGAGUUGAUACCCUCCUAGGCAGCUGAGAAGCUUUCCAGGGUUUUGAAGUCAGGAGCAUAGCUAGGAACCUUAUGUUCAUUACCCCAAUCUUCUAAGCUAGAUAGUAUCAUUACUUUCAUUUUCCAGGUGCAGAGAAUGAGGAUCAGAAACACUGAAGAACUUGCCCAGAGAUCCAACCAGUGAGUAGCCAGCUUCAGACUGAUAUGACCGUCAUUGUCCCUGACCAUGACCCGUCACAUGGCCAGCUCCGGAUGGAUUGGAAGGUCUGCGGGAAUGAGCUUUGGCCUAGUGGUAAGUCCCCAGCCUGUUGUUUUUGAUUCUCAGUUUUCUACCAUUUCUCUGCUCUCUAGUCCCACCUGAGAAAUCACCUAACAAGGAAAGAAAGCUUGCUAACACAGGGAUCUAGGAACAGCUAAGGCAUCUGACCAAGCCCUCCAGCCACUCUGCAAUGACAGGCAGUGUUAGGACUCCAUAUGGGAUCAGAGCCCUGGAAUCUGGCUCUUAUGCAGGAUUCCGACAUGUUACAUUGAAAGAGUGAUGGCCUGGCACAGGGGCUCACGCCUGUAAUCCCAGGGCUUUGGGAGGCCGAGGCAGGUGGAUCACGAGGUGAGGAGUUCAAGACCAGCCUGGCCAAGAUGGUGAAACCCCGUCUCUACUAAAAAUAAAAAAGAGUUAGCUAGGCUUGGUGGUGGGCGCCUGUAAUCCUAGCUACUCGGGAGACUAAGGCAGAGAACUACUUGAAACCCGGGAGGCGGAGGUUGCUGUGAGCUGAGAUCGCGCUACUUCACUCUAGCCUGGGUGACAGAGUGAGACUGUCUCGAAAAAAAUGAAAAAAAAAGAAAGAAAAAAAAA
rnacentral:lncRNA from 1 species